GGAAAUGCACAGACAACGGGAAAUAACAUCUGUCACCCCAUCCAUUGGAAGGGUUGGUUCAGCUGAUCAGACUGGCUAGGUGGGGGUGGUCUUUCUGCUCUACCCUUCCAAGUCUUUCCCCAAAGCUGAGCGCUUAGUAAGAGAGAAUGACUUCCUUGAUCGAGAAGGACCAUUGGUAUGUCCGGGGCAUAUGUGUAGCCAUAGCUGCACCCCCCUGCUGGAACCUUUAUAAGCAACUUCCCCAAAACGAAGCAGCACAUGUGGUGCAUGGCUGUGUU
ensembl:misc_RNA 7SK 7SK RNA